rnacentral:rRNA from 1 species
GACGAACGCUGGCGGCGUGCUUAACACAUGCAAGUCGAACGGAAAGGCCCUGCUUUUGUGGGGUGCUCGAGUUGCGAACGGGUGAGUAACACUUGAGUAACCUGCCCUUGACGUUGGGAUAACUUCAGGAAACUGGGGCUAAUACCGGAUAGGAUCUCCUGCUGCAUGGUGGGGGUUGGAAAGUUUCGGCGGUUGGGGAUGGACUCGCGGCUUAUCAGCUUGUUGGUGGGGUAGUGGAUUACCAAGGCUUUGACGGGUAGCCGGCCUGAGAGGGUGACAGGCCACAUUGGGACUGAGAUACGGCCCAGACUCCUACGGGAGGCAGCAGUGGGGAAUAUUGCACAAUGGGCGGAAGCCUGAUGCAGCAACGCCGCGUGCGGGAUGACGGCCUUCGGGUUGUAAACCGCUUUCGCCUGUGACGAAGCGUGAGUGACGGUAAUGGGUAAAGAAGCACCGGCUAACUACGUG